GUCAGAUUUUUUGUUCCUGAUUUCCCUUCUUGACUUUGCAUUGACCACUAGGGAGACAAAGGAUCAAUGGGCAUUCCUGGAAGAAUGGGCUUAAAGGGAAACCUGGGGGAGAAGGGAGCGCCAGGAGAGCCAGGUCUGUCUAUCAUUGGCCCACGAGGACCUCCUGUAAGUGUUUGCUCUGUCACUGCUAAAACACUUCAUCAUCUUCUCCUAAUGUCAG
rnacentral:lncRNA from 1 species